AACGAACGCUGGCGGCAUGCCUAACACAUGCAAGUCGAACGAGAUCUUCGGGUCUAGUGGCGCACGGGUGCGUAACGCGUGGGAAUCUGCCCUUUGGUUCGGAAUAACAGUUGGAAAUGACUGCUAAUACCGGAUGAUGACGAAAGUCCAAAGAUUUAUCGCCAGAGGAUGAGCCCGCGUAGGAUUAGCUAGUUGGCGUGGUAAAGGCGCACCAAGGCGACGAUCCUUAGCUGGUCUGAGAGGAUGAUCAGCCACACUGGGACUGAGACACGGCCCAGACUCCUACGGGAGGCAGCAGUGGGGAAUAUUGGACAAUGGGCGAAAGCCUGAUCCAGCAAUGCCGCGUGAGUGAUGAAGGCCUUAGGGUUGUAAAGCUCUUUUACCCGGGAUGAUAAUGACAGUACCGGGAGAAUAAGCUCCGGCUAACUCCGUGCCAGCAGCCGCCGUAA
rnacentral:rRNA from 1 species